AGCAUAAAAUGUCUGGGCUCAAAUUCCAGUUGAUCAGAAAGCAAUAGGCAUUAAGAACAACUAAUCCAGAAGGGAUCUAUCAAUCAAUACUCAAUCACCUAGCAUACUCAGAAUUCUACACUACUCUAACCCAUCCUCAGAAAUCUAUUCACUACUCAAACAUCAUAACAGAAAGCAUAAACGUUGAACAAGUUGAAAACAUGAUAACAACAGUGUAACAACAGGAUGAUAACAGAAUGAACAACAGUAAACGAAAUCAAGACAAAAGCUGAAUACUGAAUACUGAAUAGAUAAAGAGAAAUCCGGAUUACAAAAAGACUAGAACACAAGGUCUGCGGAAUAAAACUAGGUAAAAACUUCUUUUUGCGAAAAUGUGAAGUACAUGCUACUUAUAGCCAAAUAUCCCGAAACCCUAAUACUCAAAACGACGAAGUAUUGGGACGGAUAAAGAACUGUACUCGACCCAUGUGGUCGAGUGGGAGGUCGAGUGAGUAGCUGGAGUCUUCUUUCCUUUCCUGUGCUCGAGUGUCUGGUUGAGUGCGGAAUGAAGAAGGCUCUGAAGCUUGUCAUCUAGUAUGCAGUCGAGUGGUGUGAUGGUGAUACUCGACUUCCAAGUAGAGCAAUGAGGUCGAGUAGUGGUCUGGCAAUGAAGGUGAAGACACUCGACCUCGUGGUCGAGUGAAGUGAUCAAGUGUUUGUCAGGAGAUACUCGACUUCCAGGUUGAUUGACGAGGUCGAGUGGUUGUCUGAUGAUGGAGGUGAAGACACUCGACCUCAUGGUCGAGUGAUGUGAUCGAGUGAUGGAGAUGAGGGCACUCGACCUCGUGGUCGAGUGGUGAAGUGAAGUGGUGAUGUCCUCUACUCGACCUGGGGGUCGAGUGGUCUCUUGAGAUCUUGAAGCUCCUACUCGACCUCUGGGUCGAGUGGUUUAUCAUGAUCAGAUCCGCUUCUUCCAGAUAGCUCGUCAACAGCUCCAAAUCACCUGAAAUCAACGCAAAUAUGCAACAUGCAUGCAAAACUAUCCUAAACAUGCAAAGUUAUGACAAAUGAUGUGAAAUGGUAUAA
rnacentral:sRNA from 1 species